CGAGGCGUAACUCAGUUUGGUAGAGUGCUUGCUUUGGGAGCAAGAUGCCGCAGGUUCGAGUCCUGUCGCCUCGACCA
rnacentral:tRNA from 2 species